CGCGGGUGUGGGAGAGCACACUGUCCUCCUCUCCCCUCCACAGGGAGCUGCGGUCACGCAUGUGCUGCGCAUGCGCGCCCAGAGCGCACAGAGAGGGAGGCUGAGCCUGACUCACAGAGCAGUGCUCCUUCCAGCCACGAUAGUACAGUCUGGGACAAGGGCAGGAGCCCAGGCCUGCUCUAGGCCUGCUCUGUGACAUGACUGCCCUUCCAACUUGGGCUUGCUGCUGGGAAAACGCAGAACGGAGCAGAGGGCCACCAGGAUGGGGCUUCCCUCCAGUGAGGAACUUUGAAGCAGAGAUGUGCCUGGGGCAGUUCCAGGCCUGAGCUGGAGGACAGGCGAAGGCCGGUGAAGGGCCCUGCAGGGGCUGCAGCUGACUCCUGUAGACCGUGCUGUGGGGCUGUGGAUGGAAGGAAAAUACUGCUAGUGACACUGUGAAGAAUGUAAGAAGAAAAAGCAACCAGUGUGCAGACCAGUCACUGCCACGUAGUGAGCGACCGUGGUUCUAAGCAUGAGUUGUCUCACUUCUACCCCAAACUCACAAAGUAGGUGCUAUUAUCCUUAUCAUACAGCAGAAGAAACAGAAAGGUUAGGUGACUUAUGUGAGGUCACGCAGCUGAGGCCCCGGGUAAACCAACACACCUUUCCCCACUAUGCCUGAUGCUGAAAGGUCCUUUCCAAACACGACAGUGACAUAAGCAUCCCAGCCCAGGAGGAUGGAGGGAGGGGAGGCCAUGACCACGGCUUGACCCUGCUGGCUGCUGACUGGUCACCCAAACAGGACCCUUUCUGAAGUCCAGGCUGUCUGUAAAUGUCCCCUGUGCCUCUGCAGGCGAGAGGCAGGCAGUGCGGAGAGCAGCUGGGAGCCCUGGCCCACCUUAGUUAGCCCUGGGCCUGGGGCUGCAGCCGGCACCUGGGGCCUGGGUUCCCAUCCCAAUGGGACCUUCCCUCAGCCUGCUUCACGGCCCUGUGGGUCAGAGUCCUCAUAUCAUGGCAGAGCUCAGACAGCCUGGCCUGUGUCACUGCCCGGUCCCCCUGCCUGUGCUGUUACUCUCCACACUCGGACAUCAGCUUCUGUCCCUGGGGCCUCACACUGCCGCCUCCCCAACCCCUGCCCACACAGCCCCCUCCCCCUUCCCAGUGGAGUAGCUACUCCAAGAGCUCCAGGGUGUGCCCCACUGUUCAAAGGUCUCCUGUGUGUCCCCUGAAGUGUUCUUGACUUGCC
rnacentral:lncRNA from 1 species